UACGUAGGGGGCAAGCGUUGUCCGGAAUUAUUGGGCGUAAAGAGCUCGUAGGCGGUUUGUCGCGUCUGCUGUGAAAACCUAAGGCUCAACCUUGGGCUUGCAGUGGGUACGGGCAGACUAGAGUGUGGUAGGGGAGACUGGAAUUCCUGGUGUAGCGGUGAAAUGCGCAGAUAUCAGGAGGAACACCGAUGGCGAAGGCAGGUCUCUGGGCCACUACUGACGCUGAGAAGCGAAAGCAUGGGGAGCGAACAGG
rnacentral:rRNA from 1 species